CAGAGUUUGAUCCUGGCUCAGAUUGAACGCUGGCGGCGUGCUUAACACAUGCAAGUCGAACGUGAAAGUCCUUCGGGGCGAGUAAAGUGGCGCACGGGUGAGUAACGCGUGGAUAAUCUACCCUUAAGAUGGGGAUAACGGCUGGAAACGGUCGCUAAUUCCGAAUACGCUCCCGAUUUUAUCAUUGGGGGGAAAGAUGGCCUCUGCUUGCAAGCUAUCGCUUAAGGAUGAGUCCGCGUCCCAUUAGCUAGUUGGCGGGGUAACGGCCCACCAAGGCAACGAUGGGUAGCCGGUCUGAGAGGAUGACCGGCCACACUGGAACUGGAACACGGUCCAGACUCCUACGGGAGGCAGCAGUGGGGAAUAUUGCGCAAUGGGCGAAAGCCUGACGCAGCGACGCCGCGUGAGGGAUGAAGGUUCUCGGAUCGUAAACCUCUGUCAGGGGGGAAGAAACCCCCUCGUGUGAAUAAUGCGAGGGCUUGACGGUACCCCCAAAGGAAGCACCGGCUAACUCCGUGCCAGCAGCCGCGGUAAUACGGAGGGUGCAAGCGUUAAUCGGAAUCACUGGGCGUAAAGCGCACGUAGGCGGCUUGGUAAGUCAGGGGUGAAAUCCCACAGCCCAACUGUGGAACUGCCUUUGAUACUGCCAGGCUUGAGUACCCGGAGAGGGUGGCGGAAUUCCCGGUGUACGAGUGAAAUCCGUAGAUAUC
rnacentral:rRNA from 1 species